rnacentral:rRNA from 1 species
AUUGAACGCUAGCGGGAUGCUUUACACAUGCAAGUCGAACGAGUUGCGGACGGGUGAGUAAUAUAUUGGAACGUGCCCAGUAGCGGGGGUUAACUACUCGAAAGAGUGACUAAUACCGCAUACUAUUGGCGCGGCCGAUCUCGGAUUAGCUAGUUGGUGGGGUAAAGGCACACCAAGGCAACGAUCCGUAGCUGGUUUGAGAGGACGACCAGCCACACUGGGACUGAGACACGGCCCAGACUCCUACGGGAGGCAGCAGUGGGGAAUUUUGGACAAUGGGGGAAACCCUGAUCCAGCCAUCCCGCGUGUAUGAGAAGGCCUUCGGGUUGUAAAGUACUUUUGGCAGUGAAGCGGUAUCUGCAGAAUAAGCACCGGCUAACUACGUGCCAGCAGCCGCGGUAAUUC